AAUUUUCAGGGCAGAACACAAAAGUCCAUUUAACUCACAAGUCCUGUUGAUUAUAAUCCUGGCCAUCAAAUCAGUUUUUACAGUUGAAAAGUGCUAUGCAAGAGUUGGAGAAAAGAUCAAUACCCAACUGUGGCCCAGGUGAGGGGAGUAGAAUGGAGUAAUUGCAGCUGAAGGUUAACUUUGGACACAUUUCCUGGUGAAAGGUUCCCUGUUACUUUAUCAUGGCCAGAAGCAGAUGUCUCAAAUAACUGGUUUUUAAAAGGUAC